rnacentral:rRNA from 1 species
CAAUAAGCGGAGGAAAAGAAACCAACAGGGAUUGCCUUAGUAACGGCGAGUGAAGCGGCAAAAGCUCAAAUUUGAAAUCUGGCUCCUUUAGGGGUCCGAGUUGUAAUUUGGAGAGGACACUUCGGGUGCGGCCACGGCUUAAGUCCCUUGGAACAGGGCGUCAUAGAGGGUGAGAAUCCCGUCUUGAGCUGCUGGACCGCGCCCAUGCGAAGUUCCUUCGACGAGUCGAGUUGUUUGGGAAUGCAGCUCUAAGUGGGUGGUAAAUUUCAUCUAAAGCUAAAUAUUGGCCGGAGACCGAUAGCGCACAAGUAGAGUGAUCGAAAGGUUAAAAGCACCUUGAAAAGGGAGUUAAAUAGCACGUGAAAUUGUUGAAAGGGAAGCGCUUGCAACCAGACUCGGUCGUGGGGGCUCAACGAGCAUGCUUGUUCGUGUACUCCCUUAUGCUCGGGCCAGCAUCAGUUUCGGCGGUUGGUUAAAGGCCCCUGGAAUGUAUCAUCCUCCGGGAUGACUUAUAGCCAGGGGUGCAAUGCAGCCAGCCGGGACUGAGGAACGCGCUUCGGCACGGAUGCUGGCAUAAUGGUUGUAA